ensembl:lncRNA
CACACACACACACACACACACACACACACACACACACACACACACACACACACCAAGAGCGUUAGCGGCUAGAAGCAGUCAGGCUUAAAUCACCCAUAACAACGAAUAAUCCUUCUGGGUAUUUUGUAUAGGCUACGGCCAAUAUGUCUCUCACCCACUCUCCCUGUUCAAUGCUUUCCCACUCUCUUCUGCCCUUCAUAUCUCACAUCUAUGAGUGAGCGAGAUAGAUGCAGCCGUAUGGAAUAUGUAUUCCUCCACCGCAUGAAGGGCGCCAUGGCCUCUUGUUGAAUAGAUGUUAUUCACUUCUUCUCUUUCUAAAGAGUUCUCCUAGACGUGUGUGUGUGUUUGUGUGUGUGUGUGUGCACUUGACUUUAACGUGGAAGACAGACUAUCAAGUCGUUUUGGGAAUCUGCCCGGCAGUAAUAGCCCCGUGACAUAAUCCAAUAUCGUUUCAUUUACAGAUAAGGAGAGCUGAAAUAAGGCCUAUUUCAACAGCUACUGGGACAAUCCUCCGGUUCUCCUUUGUGUUCCUACGGGAUACUUUCAGAAGACGUUUCCUUGUCCAUGUUACGUGUGUGUGUGGGGGGUGGGCGGCACUGAUGUACUUUGAGGAAUUCAAUACCUGCCAAAAUGUAAUGAAAAACUAAGAAUCAAUACAAUGUCAUCGCAUCUGGCCUGGCGUUCCACGCUGAGGGGGAAGAGGAGGAUGAGAGGCGACAGGGCGGCUGUUCCAGGGUUAUGGUCAGUUCUUCAGGGUUACAGGGGAAUCGAACAAACACGGAUGCUUUACAGCCGCCGUUAUCCUGUCACUCUUAACCAAUGGUCGACAUCCCAGAGGCUCCCUAACGACGGCGACCAACCGGACUCAACCGGACUCGGCACCACUAGCCUGGACACCCUUCACCUCCCACCUACCAUCACGUGCUUGUUUAUUUUUUAUUUUGUUGGUCCAACGUCGCUGCUGAUGUCCUUGUGUUCCCUCGUGACUGUGCAAAUAGUUGAUAUUCAGCUCACUCCGACCUCUGAGAUUCAAGGAGGCACGUUUGGCACGCUCCUCAUUUCAAACAGGCUUUGAUUAGUGUGGCAUCUUUCACUCAAUGUGUUUUUCCUCUCUUUCUAUUGCUCUCUCUCUCUCUCUCUCGCUCUCCCUUGCCCUUCCUCUCAAUCUCAAGUUUUCCCUAAUAACAGGUGAAUUUCCUCAUAUCACUUCCACCGGAUUAGUGAAGAUCAAAGAGUGUGUGUGCGUGUGUUUCCAGAAGAGUGUGGGUGUGUGUGUGUGAGGGGGAGCGGUUGAGGGUAUGUGUGGGAGGCUGUGUGUGGGAGACUGUGUGGGUCCAUAUGAGAGAGAGUGUGUGUGCUCUAGCUUGUUUGAGUACUCGGAGUGUAUGAGGAAUAUGUAGGGGUUAAGAUGGUGAAAGCUUUCAGGUACAGAGUUAACAUACGGCACGUCUACCAGAGCUGCUCUAGCUCAUCUAGACAUUUUAGCCAGUAUAGAAGACGCGCCGCAUGUGUAAUCAAGGACCAUUCAUCUCAGCUACUGCCUCAUCGGCGGAGGAUAUAUGUGGAGGUGCGAGUGUCUCCUUUCUCCACACAGACCCCGAGGAGCAGCUGGUCCAUAGAGGAGUCCCUCUUCUGGAGUCAACCCAACCCUCAAUUUGGACUUUCUUAUCCACUGCAUCGCCACUACGAGCUAGACUAGCUUACCGAGAGGGACGAGGCCCAUGGAGACAGACCUGUCGGCCAAGACCACCAAAGAGCUGCCAAAUAUAAGACCUAGCCAAAUCAAGAACUACAUGGCUAAAGCCAUAUCCCAACGAUAACUUCCGGACCCCAAGACCUAACCAAACCUUCUUCACCGCUACAGACCUAACCAAAUCAAGUCUUUUAUAGCUGUAGACCUAGCCAAACCAAAUCAAGUCUUUUAUAGCUGUAGACCUAGCCAAACAAAGUCUUUCAUAGCUAAAUA